AUUGAACGCUAGCGGCAGGCUUAAUACAUGCAAGUCGAGGGGCAGCAUGAUUGUAGCAAUACAAUUGAUGGCGACCGGCAAACGGGUGCGGAACACGUACACAACCUUCCAACAAGUGGGGGAUAGCCCAGAGAAAUUUGGAUUAAUACCCCGUAACAUAGCGAUGUGGCAUCACAUUGCUAUUAUAGAUUUUUCGCUUGUUGAUGGGUGUGCGGCUGAUUAGAUAGUUGGCGGGGUAACGGCCCACCAAGUCUACGAUCAGUAGCUGAUGUGAGAGCAUGAUCAGCCACACGGGCACUGAGACACGGGUCCGACUCCUACGGGAGGCAGCAGUAAGGAAUAUUGGACAAUGGACGCAAGUCUGAUCCAGCCAUGCCGCGUGAAGGAUUAAGGUCCUCUGGAUUGUAAACUUCUUUUAUAAGGGACGAAAAAAGGCUUUUCUAAGUCGUCUGACGGUGCCUUAUGAAUAAGCACCGGCUAACUCCGUGCCAGCAGCCGCCGUAACAC
rnacentral:rRNA from 1 species